GAUGAACGCUAGCUACAGGCUUAACACAUGCAAGUCGAGGGGCAGCGGGAUUGAAGCUUGCUUCAAUUGCCGGCGACCGGCGCACGGGUGAGUAACGCGUAUCCAACCUUCCGUACACUCAGGGAUAGCCUUUCGAAAGAAAGAUUAAUACCUGAUGGUAUGAUGAGAUCGCAUGGUAUCAUCAUUAAAGAUUUAUCGGUGUACGAUGGGGAUGCGUUCCAUUAGGUAGUAGGCGGGGUAACGGCCCACCUAGCCUACGAUGGAUAGGGGUUCUGAGAGGAAGGUCCCCCCACAUUGGAACUGAGACACGGUCCAAACUCCUACGGGAGGCAGCAGUGAGGAAUAUUGGUCAAUGGACGAGAGUCUGAACCAGCCAAGUAGCGUGAAGGAUGAAGGUCCUACGGAUUGUAAACUUCUUUUAUAAGGGAAUAAAACCUCCCACGUGUGGGAGCUUGUAUGUACCUUAUGAAUAAGCAUCGGCUAACUCCGUGCCAGCAGCCG
rnacentral:rRNA from 1 species